rnacentral:rRNA from 1 species
UACGAAGGGAGCUAGCGUUGUUCGGAAUCACUGGGCGUAAAGCGCACGUAGGCGGAUUUGUCAGUCAGGGGUGAAAUCCCGGGGCUCAACCUCGGAACUGCCUUUGAUACAGCAAGUCUUGAGUUCGAGAGAGGUGGGUGGAAUUCCUAGUGUAGAGGUGAAAUUCGUAGAUAUUAGGAAGAACACCGGUGGCGAAGGCGGCCCACUGGCUCGAUACUGACGCUGAGGCGCGAAAGCCAGGGGAGCGAACGGG